rnacentral:lncRNA from 9 species
CAAUAUAUUUCCGGCGUCAGUGGCUGUUUUCUAAGAUAACCCUACAUCAUUUCUGAGAGCCUAGUGCAAGAACUACAAAAUCCUCAUGUCCCGACGUAUCACGUUACAACCCUGAAACUGUAGUGAGGUUUUCAGGCGGCAUUCAUUAACUUGAGCAAUUGCAUUUCUUUGGAAAUGGACGUUACUUAGGUAGCUUUUAGACACAAAUACUGGCAAACUAAGAUAUUACCUGCAUUUCCCUUAUGAUGCUAAGAAAUCUUGUUUAGAAAUACAUGCAUGAUUGUGUGUUUUCUCUCAGCUAGGAUGAUGGCUCAGUUCAAGGAUGAUUGGAGGAGAGAACAGUUGCAGAAUGAUGAUCUUCAAAAGAAACUCAAAGAACUUCAGGAAAAAAUUGAAGGACCACAGAACUUAGAUCAAGUCCAGAAAGAAAUGGCUAGGAUGAUGGCUCAGUUCAAGGAUGAUUGGAGGAGAGAACAGUUGCAGAAUGAAGGACCUCAGGAAAAACAUGAUGAUCUUCAAAAGAAACUCAAUCAAGUCCAGAAAGAAAUGGGAGCACUUCAGGAUGAGAUUGGUAACUUUUUCUGGUGUUUUUUUUGGUGGGGAAGAAGAAUAUUCCUAGAAAUAUUCUCUUUGUUUCUUGCCUUCCUUUGCUAUUACUUUCAUUUACUGUCUUCCAGAUGAUUACCAUGAUUUCAUUGUAAGGUUUGUUAAUGAAGGAGUUGGGCAAGAAGAUGUUGUUAUCUCUGAAAUAAAAAACAUUCUUUAAACUGGGUUCUCUAACGUGUCCUCUGAGAUGGAGUGCCCACUGUUUUGUACCUGAUAUUGUCCUGAUUUUUAAUGUAAACGUUCAGACUCCAAACUUGGUUAGAGAGAGAAGUUUUUCCUUUUGAUUUACACACUUUUUCUCCUGUAGUUGACUGACGAGGCCACUUUCCUUGAACAUACCCUCAAGUGAUCUACUGUCUGUAAAUAUGCUGUACUGAUUCUACCUGCUUAAUUUCUCUUUCCAACCUUAGCUCUACUUAUUCGUUUUUAUUCUAAUACACUCAAACAUGUAUUCAACAAAUUUCUCUUCCUUCAUGAUAUUUUUAUAUUGAUUUUUCUAUCCGACUUCCUUGGUAAUGUAUCCUUAUAGUCUAAGGCUAUCUUAUGAAGAAUUCUUAAACUCUUUUUUAGUACUCUACAUGAAUAUUUUAUGUUCUCAUGUACCUACAUAUCAUGUAGUACUCCUAAAAUUGAAGGGAACUUUUUAUUUAGAAUGGACCAGAAAGAUUUCUCAUUAUUUUUAAAAUGUGAAUUACUUGACCAACAUGCAGAUAUAACCAUUAGCAAUGUAUGGCUUUAAUUGCAUCUUCCUCAUGAAGUCAAGAAAUCCUCUCAUAUCUGUGGGUGUUUUGUGUUUUCUCUCAGCUAGGAGGAAGGCUCAAUUCAAGAAAGGUAAGUAAAUGGUUGUCUCUCAGAAAGCUUCCUUCUUCCAUCUCUCUUGGGUCCUGUCCCUGUAGCAGUAUGAGAGAAUGCAGGCAUAAAAAUUAAAAUGUCUAUAUUGGGCAAAGAAGCCUUUGCUUUUCUUUCUCUAAAUUUCUGUAAUGAAUUCUCUCUGAAGUGUAAAUGAGGAGUGAUUCAGCAUGUUCUGCCCCCCACCCCGUCCUCUUUCCUUUCUUCCUGUCUUUAUCUUAUGCUCCCUGCUUUGUGUUCCACCUCUGUCCCUCCCACAUUUUGUUGCUUCUGUAUUUCUACCUAUGUCUUAAACCUGACCAUUUUAACUUAUUAUCUGUAUCUUAAACCUGACUGUUUUUAUUUAUCAUGUUUCUUAAAAUGCAAUACGGAGGUAAUACAGGAUAGAAAGAGGAAGUAUGAGGGAUUCAAGAGAGGAAAAGGGAUAAUGACAGGGAGCAAUGGAAAAGAUAACAGGAGUAAAUGGAGAAGGAAAAAAGCUAAAGGUUUCCUAUGUUUUCUUUUGCAGCCUGGAGGGAUGCUCCAUUAUAUCCUGGUGAGUAACAUGGAC